rnacentral:rRNA from 1 species
UACGAAGGGUGCUAGCGUUGUUCGGAAUCACUGGGCGUAAAGCGCGCGUAGGCGGUUAAUCAAGUCAGGGGUGAAAUCCUGAGGCUCAACCUCAGAAUUGCCUUUGAAACUGGUUAACUGGAGUGUCGGAGGGGAUAGCGGAAUUGCUAAUGUAGCGGUGAAAUGCGUAGAUAUUAGCAGGAACACCGGUGGCGAAGGCGGCUAUCUGGACGACAACUGACGCUGAGGCGCGAAAGCGCGGGGAUCAAACAGG